GACGAACGCUGGCGGCGUGCUUAACACAUGCAAGUCGAACGGAAAGGCCUGCUUUCCCUUGUGGAUUGCGGGUGCUCGAGUGGCGAACGGGUGAGUAACACGUGAGUGAUCUGCCCCCAACUUGGGUAUAAGCCUGGGAAACUGGGUCUAAUUCCCGAUAGGACUGCAGGGUGGUGCCUGUGGUGGAAAACGAUUUUCUAGUGGUUGGGGAUGAGCUCGCGGCCUAUCAGCUUGUUGGUGGGGUAAUGGCCUACCAAGGCGGCGACGGGUAGCCGGCCUGAGAGGGUGGACGGGCACAGUGGGACUGAGAUACGGCCCAGACUACUACGGGAGGCAGCAGUGGGGAAUAUUGCACAAUGGGCGGAAGCCUGAUGCAGCGACGCCGCGUGGGGGAUGACGGCCUUCGGGUUGUAAACUCCUUUCGACCGCGAGGAAGCCACCUGGUCGGAAGGGUGGUGACGGUAGUGGUAGAAGAAGCACCGGCUAACUACGUG
rnacentral:rRNA from 1 species